UCUUUUAACCAAACGGAUAUCUUACAACUAUGUAUCUAAUUCGUAAAUAAAUUUACUUUUUACACACUAUUAAUCCAUUCUCUCUUAUGCGGUAUUUAUUUUUCUUCUUAAUAAUCAACUGGCUUAGAAAAAAAUUCAUAUCUUUCAGCAAGCUUUUCAAACAUAAUUAAAUAAAAAAAUAUUUUUUUAAAAAAAUAAUCCUUGUUGUAAAAAUGGUAAGAGUAGUAUAUAGCACUAUGUAUGUCACAAAUUAUGUUAAGAAUUUGAUUUUCAUUUUUUUAACUUUAGCUUAUGGUUUCAAUAUAUAUAGUGGAAGGAUACAUUAAAUAUUUUUAAUCUUCAAUUUAUAUAUAAGAUUUGUUUCCUAAAUAGUGUCUUUUUUUUUUGACACACCAGAAAAUGACACGUGUCAUUGCUAGUGUGUCUUUUAGUAUAUAGUUAUGGAUAGUUAGCAAAUAUUAAUUUCUUUCGGUAUAAUAGUUAGGGUUGUUAAAAAAAAACCCGACCCGAUUGUCCUGUCCCGAUUAUCCGAUGACCCGCAAAAAACCCGAUGGGAAAUUGAUGAAUUUUUCUUUUUUUUUAAGGUCGGGAACCCGUCCCACUAAAAUAGCAGUUUCGUGGGCUGGGACAUGAGACAGGCUUUGCUAAUCUCAAGUACCCGGAUAUCCGUUAAAAAAAAAAUUCGUUACUCCCUAACCAGUCAGCCCACUUAGACCCAGGGUUCCAAUUUUCCCACUCCAAAAAAAAAAAAAAACGAUAGUCAGACUUCUUCUCUUUCUCUUUCUUGCGCCUCAUCUCGACAUCUCCUCCCUAAAAAAAUCAAUCAAUUCCUCACUCGAAAUUCGACUCGAUUCAUCCUCAAACUUCAGUCGAUCUCAGUUCACUCAAUCUUCUCGCCACCUCAGGUUAGUUUGUUGUAAUUUUUGUUCACUAUAAUUUGUUGUGUUUUUUAUUAUGGAUGGGCGGUAUUGAAUAUUGAUUGUGAAUGGGUUGUUGAUUGGGGUAUGGAACUAAUUUGAGUUGAUUUUGUGUUCUUUUGAUUUUUAUUAUCUUCCUGUUUUUCGUCUUAAUGUGGGAUUAUGCAUAAGUUACUGAUUUUUUUUUCACUUCCUGUAAUUCUAAUUAAUUUGUUUACGUUUGAUUUUUUUUUUUUUCACUUUCUGUUUUCACUUAUAGUAUUCUGUUUUUGUUUGAUUGUUUUUUUCACUUCCUGAAAUUCUAAUUAAUCUGUUUUCAUUUUUUAUUCUGUUUUCAUUUAUAUUACUUGUUGUUAUUUAUAUUAUUCUAUUUUUGUAUUAUGUUUUCAUACGUGGAAUUUUGUUAUCAUUUUAUUAUUCUGUUUUUGUUUUAUAAUAAUUUAUAUCAUAUGAUUAGAGAUGGAAAUGGAUCCAGAUCCAACCCGGAUCCGCGGACCCAUAUCCGUCUUUGACGGAUCUGGAUCCGGAAAAUUUGGACCCGUCGGAUCCGGAUCCACUGCUGAAAACGGGUCUGGAUCCGGAUCUCACUCUGAGAUCCGGAUCCGUUUACCCGUUUUAAAAAAAAUAUAUAUAAAAUGCCAUGUAUAACAAAUUGUGUCAGCAGAAAUACUCCAAAGCCCAAAGAGUCCAAAACUCCAAACCCUAAAACACGACAUUCCAGUAUAACAGCAUUCCCAAUUCCAAUACUUUGCUAAGCUUGAUUCUUGGGAAUGUUGAGAUUAUUGGAUUUUGUUUUAUAAAAAUUAUUGUUUUUAUUAAGAAAUUCAUAUAAAAGCGAAAGGAUCCGUUUUGGACCCGGAUCUGGAUAUGGAUCCUAGUGUUCAGAUUUGACGGAUCUGGAUCCAAGGUCUGAAAACAGAUAUGGAUCUGGAUCCAGACAGAUCCGAUCCAGAUCCGGCCCGUUGCCAUCCCUACAUAUGAUUAUUUAAUAAUUUAUUAUACUGUUUUCUUUUGUUAACCAAAAAAUGUCAACAUUUGAUGAUGAUUCUGAUGACUUGAUGGAGACAAAUUCAAGUCAAGAAGUUGAAGCACAAGAUUCUGAUGAGGCAGAGGUUUUGGAGAAGGCUCCAAAACCAUGGCCUAAGAAGAAAAGAGCAGGGAAGAAACCAAAAGGCUAAAAAGGAGGUAAAAGGAAAAAAAACCUCUAAUGCUUGGGAACACUUUAAAGUAAUUAAAACUGACCCUAACCAUGCUAAAUGUCUUUAUUGUGGGGCAAUAAUUGGUUGUGAUCCAAAGAAUGAAACUAAUGGCAUGUAUCGACACACUGAUAGGUGUAAAAAAUCUCCAUUUUACAAAGAUAAAUCUCAAACUAUCUUACAUUUUGAGUCUAGGACAAAGAUUAAUACUGAUGGGAGUGUCCAAACUGUUAAUGUUCCUAAAUUGUGGAGAUUUAAUCAUGAUGAGAUUAGAAAAACACUUGCUAAGAUGAUAAUUGUAGAUGAGUUGCCUUUUGCUUUUGUUAAACGUGAAUGUUUUCGUCAGUUUUGUAAAGUUGUUGUUCCUAAAUUUGUUCCUCCCUCGCGUGCUACCAUUACAAGGGAUUGUUAUGGUCUUUUUAUUGAUCAAAGGAAAAAGUUAAAGAAUUUUUUCAACAAUUUGUCUUCUAGAGUAUGUCUUACUAUAUAUACAUGGACUUUAGGUCAAAACUUGUCAUAUAUGUGUCUUACUGCUAUUUCAUUGAUGAUGAUUGGAAAUUGCAUAAGAGAAUCAUUAACUUUUGUCCUAUUACCAGUCAUUCUGGGGAGCUUAUUGGUAAAUCUGUUGAAAAAUGUUUGUUAGAAUGGAAUUUGAAGAGGGUUAUGACUGUAACAAUUGAAUGCUAGCUCAAAUGAUUUGGCUAUAAAAUACUUGAAAAAAAUCUUUAAUAUUUGGGAUGGGUUUGUGUUGAAUUCUAAGUUUUUGCAUAUGAGAUGUGCCGCACACAUUUUGAAUUUGGUUGUUAAAGAUAGCUUGAAAGAUGUGAAUGUUUUUGUUUUAAAAGUCCGAGCUGCCGUGAAAUAUGUGAGGUCUUCUUCUAGGCUUCAAAAGUUCAAGUCUUGUGUUAGAAGAAGAGAACAUCACUUGUAAAGGUCUUGUUUGUUUAGAUAUUGAAACAAGAUGGAAUUCCACCUAUUUGAUGCUUAAGACUGCUUUAGUGUUUAGGAAAGCCUUUAAAAAUAUGAAAACAAAGUUCUCUCCUUACACUAAAGAGCUUAUGAAGCAACCGGUGGGGGGUGCUCCCGAUGAUGAGGAUUGGAAUAAAAUUCAAAGUUUCUUGCCUUUUUUUGAAAUUUUUUAUAAUGCUACUUUGAAGUUGUCCGGAUCCCACUAUGUGACAGGAAAUACUUUUAAGGAAGAGAUUUAUGAUAUUGGGUACACCAUUUAUGACUAUGCUAGUGAUCCGAAUGAUGAUGUUAAGAAUAUGGCAACACAAAUGAAUUUGAAAUUUGACAAGUAUUGGGAAAAUGUUCGUAAUAUUAAUAUCUUGAUGUUCAUUGCAUUGAUUCUUGAUCCAAGGAAUAAGAUGAAGUAUACGGAGCAUAUUGUGCGUAAUUCUUAUGAUGUUAGCAAUCCCUAUAUUUUGUGUAAACGUAUUCAAGAUACAUUAAAUUCAUUAUAUGAUUGUUAUGCACAAAAAGUGGGGUCAUCUUCUACUAAUAUUGCCUCUACAAGUCAAAGUGAAAAGGGUGGGAAAGAACAAAAAAAGGGUUCUAACAAUGUAUCUCGAUUGAGGGAUAUAUAGUUUUGUAAGGGAGAUUGGGAAUGAUUCAUCUUCCAAAGGAAUGACCGAAUUAGAAAAGUAUUUAGGGGAUAAACUAGAGCCUAGUGAUGAGGAUUUUGAUACUUUGGCAUGGUGGAGUGCACAAGGAAAAACAUAUCCAAUACUUAUGACUAUGGCUCGUGAUAUUCUUGCUAUUCCGGUUUCUUCUAUUGCUUCGGAGUCCACUUUUAGCACGGGAGGACGUGUUAUAGAUUCCUUUCGUACUUCUUUGAGCACAAAAAUGGUAGAAGGUCUUGUUUGUGGCCAAGAUUAGACGCGUAGCUCCAAUGUCCCUAUUACUAUAGAGGAAAACUUGCUUGAAUUAGAAAAUAUGGAAGAAGAAGUAUUUGUGUUUUGUAGGAAUGAAAGACUUGGUUUUGGAGCAACCGACGAUUGUUAUUGAUGAGACAAUGGAUGGAAAUAUCGGAUCUCACAAGUGAAUGAAUUGAUCCCCUCCCAUUUCGUUUGUUGUGUGGCUUUGUGCCAUAAUUUGUACUUUGUAUGUUUUGAAGUUAUGUAACUAAAAACUCAAAAACUUUGUAUUCCCAUCCUUAAACUCUAGUUUUGAUUUUUU